rnacentral:rRNA from 1 species
ACUCCUACGGGAGGCAGCAGUGGGGAAUAUUGCACAAUGGGGGAAACCCUGAUGCAGCCAUGCCGCGUGUGUGAAGAAGGCCUUGGGUUGUAAAGCACUUUCAGUAGGGAGGAAGGUAGUGUAGUUAACACCUGCAUUAUUUGUACGUUACCUACAGAAGAAGCACCGGCUAACUCCGUGCCAGCAGCCGCGGUAAGUACGGAGGGUGCGAGCGUUAAUCGGAAUUACUGGGCGUAAAGCGCAUGCAGGCGGCCUGUUAAGUCAGAUGUGAAAGCCCGGGGUCUUAACCUCGGAAUUGCAUUUGAAACUGGCAGGCUAGAGUCUUGUAGAGGGGUUAGAAUUUCAGGUGUAGCGGUGAAAUGCGUAGAGAUCUGAAGGAAUACCAGUGGCGAA